CGGAAAACUACUCGGCUCAUCUGGGUUACUUGUUUGGUAUCUUACAGAGACUGGUCAGGAUAAAAGAAGUUCCCAUUUAAAAUAAGUGAUGUUUUACUCUAAUUCCUGCCGAAAAUUCUUGUAAGGAUAUUCAGGUGCAGUGUUUUCGGUGCCCAUGCGACAAUACCUUCACUGUGAGAGUUCUAAUGUGGUCUCUGAAUGUUCCUGGAAGUAGAUGUAAUGUACUGGGGUGAAAAUAAGGCUGUAAUCUGAAGAUGAAAGAAGUGACCGUGAACUCAGAAAAAAUAUUCUAAAAGCCUGAAACUAGAAAAGAGACAAUUUCUUCCCUUCACAAAAACAGCCCAGGAUCUGGUUUGCCGUGAAAGGUUCCUAACAAGAUCCACAGUGCUUUACUUAGUAGCUUUUGUUAAAGCUUCAUUUUGAGAUUUACUACCAUUUAAUUCACGAACAUUUACUAUCAUUUAAUUCACUAACAGUUAGAUUUACUAUCAUUUAGUUCAUAGAAACACUUUGUUUCUAUGCUGUGCCAAGCAUUACACCUAGCAUCUAAGAGAGGACACAGGGCAAGAAAUGGUUAGCAUUUUAGGACAAAAUGUCCAAACUAGUCCAGAACUAGUGAAGAAAAAUCCAAACCAGGCUGCCUCCUCAUCAGAGGGACCCCAGAAAAUGAAAGCUAAAGUUAAACAUUUAUGAUUCAACUCUAGCAGAAUACCUGUUUCUGACGAUCCUCCAUGGGAAAGCGUCUAUUGUGGGACGUCACCUAUUUCUUUGUGUUGCCUUUUUAGUGUUUUAGUUAAUCAAUUCUUGUUCACAGAGAAUCAGGCUUUUGUGGGUGUUGGGGGAGAAAAAGGUGAUUUUCUGGGAGAAGGUGCCCUGGGCUGGAAGGGUACAGCAAUUCAUUACAUUCCAGCCUCCGUCUUCUCUCCACUUUCGAAAUUAGCUUUGCUGUGACUUUUUUUGACCUGCCUCCACUCUGUUUCAGAUUUGUAUACUCAUGUUUCAUGUAUCAGUGAUGAUUCCAAUUACACGCUAGGUAACAAGAGUUUAAUAAAAUGUGGCAAUAAAUUGUGGAAAGACAUCAUGCAUGGGAAAAAAAUGUAUUAAGAAAUGUGUUCCAGGUAGGGCUUCCAGUAUUAAAUGACUAAUCACUUCCCCCCACACACACAAAGUGGAGGUUUUACUUUGGGAAACUUGGCCCUUUCAAAGCUAGAAUGCCAAGCAGUGCCUUCCAACUGGGCCUCCAGCCUGUCAGAAACAUGUGGCGGCUGUUGUUUCUUUGUACACAGAACUCUUUUUUUUUUAAUGUCCUCAGUGACCCUUCAGCAGGAAGGAAGGAAGGAAGGGAGGAAGGAGAAGACCUUGUUCAAGGCUUACAUGUUGAUUUCAUUGAUAAGUGAUAAGAAAAGGGAUGGACAAUAGUUUGUUUUCAGUAAAGUCUAGUGGUCAAAUUGUCCCGAAUCGAAUCCAUGUAUUCAAUAUGUGAACUUACAUAAGGUUCUUACUGUGGGGAGCCUGCCACGGCUAUGUCAGGGAUCAUAGGCUCAGAUCUGUGGAAAACAGCACCCCUCCCCCACCCUGCCCACGCUGGGGCUCGGGAGGCAUAGCAAAGCCGUCCCCUGGUCCAAGUUUAAACACUGACAGGGUGUGCGGAAAAUGGCCACCAUAGCUUUCUCCCCGCAGAUAUUUGUAGCCUGAAGAUAUGAGUCCCCUACAGAGACUGCACCUACCGAGAUUAGCUAAACCUGUCUCCUUGAGCCGGCCAAUCUUCUAAACCCCUCCUUAUUUUUCUGUAUGAAAUAAGUCUGCCUCUUUGUUCCGUCUGUAACCCUGCCUGUCUAUUCAACUCUGUGUAACUAGCGUGCUGUGCUGUGAUUUUUUUCCAAUCUGAGAGCCCAGUUCAUGAACCUCAGCUUUCUAAUUGUGAAGGUGUCUAUCAUUUCUUCAUUUAUUCAUUGCCCUUUAGUUAGGCCAAGUUCCUUGAGCUGUAGAAGGACCCAGCAUCUUACAUGGCUUUUUAAAUUUUGAGCCAGGGUCUCUCUGCCCAGGACAGGCUUGUCACCAAUUCAGGAUCCUGGGCUUCUUCUCUUGUGUGCUGGGCUUACAUGUAUACAUCACCAAGCCUGUAUAGAUACACCUCUGUUCCUCAUGUUAAACAGGGGCAGGGAUAUGUUCUUUACUGAGUGGUUGCAGAAUAUCAGCAAUUAAAAAAAACUGAAUGCAAAGCAUUUAGCUCAACUGGAAAUGCAGGGUAAGCACUCAGUAAGAACACUGUUAUUAAAAAAUAUCCAAUUUAAAGAUGUGAGUAGAAAUUGCACAAUUUUUUUAUUGUUUGCUGGUUGGUGCUAGAGAUUGGCCCUAGAGUCUACUGAACAUGUUCUCUGAUCAUGGUCUAUAUUGCUAGCCUCCUGAUUACCUACAUGUUGUAGAAUAUAUUUGUACCUUGUGUGAAGACAGGUUGCUGUUAUUGGUGCAAUGAAAUGUGGAAUGACCAACAGCUGGGCAGUAGAAGCUAGGCAGAACUUCUGGGGAGAGAGAGGAAGAGAAGGAAUCUAGGCACAUGGGGAGUCAUCAGCCAGAUGUGGAGGAGAGCAGGGUACAGGGUGCAGAGGUAACAAGCCACGUGGCAGAACGGAGUUGAAAAAAAAAUAAUGGGUCAAUUUAAGUCACAAGAGCUAGUGAAAAACAAACCUAGCUAAAGACCAAAGCUUUUAUAAUUAAUAGUGAGUCUCUGUGUCGUGAUUUGUGGGCUGGCGGUCCGGACCUGAAAAGACUCACUACGUUUGGCACCCAAGGUCGGGCUCCAGAAGAUGCAUUUGUCUAAUUCUUUAUCCACAAAAACUCGGAAGUCAGACGUUGGGCUAAGAGCCUGAGUGAUCAGAGAAGCGGAAGAGAAGCGACCAAUGAAAGCCCGAGCAUCUUUCUAAACCCCUCCCUACUGCUUCCCCUGUCUCUCUAUAUGUUCUGGGUCCUCCAAAAAACCUCCAUGGCUAAUUUUCAUCAGCUCAUAGGUGGCUCCACCCUCCGAUUCAAGGUAAACUUUAUUGGCCAUCUUUGCAGUGUUAGAAUGCGAUCAAAAUAUCGUACAACACCUGAAAAUAACAGUUCCAGGGAAAAAAAGCAUAAAACGUGUCACUUGGGAAAGGAGAUGAUGUGUGCACAUUUGACUUUUUCUAAAUUUCUGUGUCACCCUCACGGCGUUUCAUAACAUUUGCUUUCCUAUCAGUGGUAUCAUUUGUUGGGUGACUCUCCUCACCUUCACCGCAUCACUAAUGAUCACUAGAAAUCGUCAGGUUCUGUAUCCUUCGGAAGGAUGAAAAUCCCAAGUGUGACUUCUUAUUUCACUUUGGAAGUCAGCAUCUGGGAACCGCGGGGGAUAAGGAACUUCCUGGCAGAUACUUGAUUUGUCCUUAUUGUUCCUGCUUCUAUAACGUUCUGAGAGCCCAUAGAGGAGACAGUCUUGUUUCUUCCUGGGCUUUUACCUUGCUAGUAGGUUAGCAGUGAGGCUUCUGGAACUUGGUCCAUAUUGUUUUAGCUACUCCUUUCCUUGCUGUGGUAAAAUGCUUUUUAUAGGGGGAAGAUUUAUUUUGACUCAUUGUUUAAAAGGUCAGAGUCCAUAAUGGUGGGGAAGGUGUGGCCAUGGAUGUAUGUGGUCAGAGUUUUCUUGAAUCUGGAAGCAGUGAGAUCUUCCAAAACCUUGGGUGGUUUAAGAUCAUAGGUCUCUCACCAUCCCUCCAGGAACCCAGCAGCUAAGAGCCAACUCCUAGAGGUCUCAUAGGUCCCUAGAACUGGGCCAUCUGUUCAAACACAUGAAGCCCAUGGAGGCCACUUCAUAUUUUAGCCGUAAUACUUUGUGCUUUGAGAGAGUAAUUUAGUUUCUCUGUACCUCUUGGUUCCUUUGAGUGUGGUGGCAAUAAUGACACUUUGGAGUGUAGCCAACAUGAUUGGAGAGUACAUACCACAAAAUGUCCAGGAUAGUAGCACAAGACAUUUUAAUGGAGACUAGUUAGUGGUACAAUACAGAUGAUUCGUUGGGUUGGGUUGCAAGUCUGUGACAUAUUCAUAAAAUAGUAUUUGCCAUCAGAGAAUUAAGACAUGAUCAGAGUGUUGAGUACCGAGACAUCAGAGUGUAGAUUUUCUUCAUUAGUGCCUGAGUAAGAAAUAAGGUAGUGAAGUGGUGACUGAAAUUAUUAUCAGUUGUUAUGUGCUAUUCCAAUGAUCAGAUCAUAGUCUAAGAGUAAUUGUACUCCAGGAACAAAAUUAUGAUUUUUCAAAAAAGACCAUGGAGCUAGCUAAUAAUUGUAGAGUUGAGGGUUUGCGAUGAGAUCUGUGCCUUUCUGGUGGUUUUGUGUAUGGGACUUAUUUAAUUCUCACAGCCACCCUCAUGGGGUACAUGACUGUUGUUCUUAUUAGUUAACACGAGAAGUGACCAUUUCCUAUUUUUUUCUCAGGGCAUUUGGAGAUUUUCUUUGUCCCGUUGCUUCAGAGGUUUAGAAACAUAUCUCUUAUCUUAUAUGAGAAGAAACAGGAAAGAAAGGGGACAAGAAGAAGGAGGCCAA